GACGAACGCUGGCGGCGUGCUUAACACAUGCAAGUCGAACGGAAAGGCCUCUUUCGGGGGGUACUCGAGUGGCGAACGGGUGAGUAACACGUGAGUAACCUGCCCUUGACUUUGGGAUAACUUCAGGAAACUGGGGCUAAUACCGGAUAGGAGCUCCUGCUGCAUGGUGGGGGUUGGAAAGUUUCGGCGGUUGGGAUGGACUCGCGGCUUAUCAGCUUGUUGGUGGGGUAGUGGCUUACCAAGGCUUUGACGGGUAGCCGGCCUUAGAGGGUGACCGGCCACAUUGGGACUGAGAUACGGCCCAGACUCCUACGGGAGGCAGCAGUGGGGAAUAUUGCACAAUGGGUGGAAGCCUGAUGCAGCAACGCCGUGUGCGGGAUGACGGCCUUCGGGUUGUAAACCGCUUUCGCUCAUGACGAAGCUUUGUGUGACGGUAGUGGGUAAAGAAGCACCGGCUAACUACGUG
rnacentral:rRNA from 1 species